UAGGGAAUCUUCCGCAAUGGGCGAAAGCUUGACGGAGCAACGCCGCGUGAGUGAUGAAGGUCUUCGGAUCGUAAAACUCUGUUAUUAGGGAAGAACAAAUGUGUAAGUAACUAUGCACGUCUUGACGGUACCUAAUCAGAAAGCCACGGCUAACUACGUGCCAGCAGCCGCGGUAAUACGUAGGUGGCAAGCGUUAUCCGGAAUUAUUGGGCGUGAAACGCGCGUAGGCGGUUUUUUAAGUCUGAUGUGAAAGCCCACGGCUCAACCGUGGAGGGUCAUUGGAAACUGGAAAACUUGAGUGCAGAAGAGGAAAGUGGAAUUCAAUGUGUAGCGGUGAAAUGCGCAGAGAUAUGGAGGAACACCAGUGGCGAAGGCGACUUUCUGGUCUGUAACUGACGCUGAUGUGCGAAAGCGUGGGGAUCAAACAGG
rnacentral:rRNA from 1 species